AUACGGAGGGUGCGAGCGUUGUUCGGAAUCACUGGGCGUAAAGGGCGCGCAGGCGUGCUGUCAAGUCAGAUGUGAAAGCCCACGGCUCAACCGUGGACGUGCAUCUGAAACUGGCAGACUCGAGUACCGGAGGGGAAAGUGGAAUUCCCGGUGUAGAGGUGAAAUUCGUAGAUAUCGGGAGGAAUACCGGAGGCGAAGGCGACUUUCUGGACGGAUACUGACGCUGCGGCGCGAAAGCGUGGGGAGCGAACAGGAUUAGAAACCCUAGUAGUCC
rnacentral:rRNA from 1 species